rnacentral:rRNA from 1 species
GACGAACGCUGGCGGCGUGCCUAAUACAUGCAAGUCGAGCGGAUGACGGAGGAGCUUGCUCCUCCUGAUUCAGCGGCGGACGGGUGAGUAACACGUGGGCAACCUGCCCUGUAGAUUGGGAUAACUCCGGGAAACCGGGGCUAAUACCGAAUAAUCCUUCGGGCCUCAUGGUCCGAUGUUGAAAGACGGCAUCUCGCUGUCACUACAGGAUGGGCCCGCGGCGCAUUAGCUAGUUGGUGAGGUAACGGCUCACCAAGGCCACGAUGCGUAGCCGACCUGAGAGGGGGAUCGGCCACACUGGGACUGAGACACGGCCCAGACUCCUACGGGAGGCAGCAGUAGGGAAUCUUCCACAAUGGACGAAAGUCUGAUGGAGCAACGCCGCGUGAGUGAAGAAGGUUCUCGGAUCGUAAAACUCUGUUGUGAGGGAAGAACAAGUACCGGAGUAACUGCCGGUGCCUUGACGGUACCUCAUUAGAAAGCCACGGCUAACUACGUGCCAGCCGCCGCGGUAACAC